AACGAACGCUGGCGGCAGGCCUAACACAUGCAAGUCGAACGCCCGCAAGGGGAAGGUGGCAGACGGGUGAGUAACACGUGGGAACGUACCCUUCGGUUCGGGAUAACUCAGGGAAACUUGAGCUAAUACCGGAUACGUCCGAGAGGAGAAAGAUUUAUCGCCGAGGGAUCGGCCCGCGUCUGAUUAGCUUGUUGGUGAGGUAACGGCUCACCAAGGCGACGAUCAGUAGCUGGUCUGAGAGG
rnacentral:rRNA from 1 species